rnacentral:ncRNA from 1 species
GCAUGAAGAUGCCAAGAUGGCCAUCACCACCCCAAGAACAAAAGACUUAGUCCUAACCUUAUAGUUAACUUUUGCUCAACACAUACAUGCAAGUAUCCGCGCCCCAGUGCAAACGCCCCAAACCCCUUACCAAGGUACAAGGAGCAGGCAUCAGGCACACCCACCCACCGUAGCCUAAAACGCCACGCCCCGCCACACCCCCACGGGUACUCAGCAGUAGUUAACCUUAAGCAAUAAGCGAAAGCCUGACUUAGUUAGAGCAAUCAGGGUUGGUAAACCUUGUGCCAGCCACCGCGGUCAUACAAGAAACCCAAGUUAACCACAUACGGCGUAAAGAGUGGGCUUAAACUAUCACACCAAACUAAGACUAAACCCUGCCCAAGCCGUCAUAAGCCCAAGGCACCCCUAAACCUAACCUAAAGACGAUCUUAAACCCCAUGAUCCACUCCACCCCACUAAAGCUAGGACACAAACUGGGAUUAGAUACCCCACUAUGCCUAGCCUUAAAUCUUGAUGACCCUCCCAACACAAACAUCCGCCUGAGAACUACGAGCACAAACGCUUAAAACUCUAAGGACUUGGCGGUGCUCUACACCCACCUAGAGGAGCCUGUUCUAUAAUCGAUAACCCACGAUUCACCCGACCACUUCUUGCCAAAACAGCCUAUAUACCGCCGUCACCAGCCCACCUCAUGAGAGUACAACAGCGAGCCCAAUAGUCCACAACCCACUAACAAGACAGGUCGAGGUAUAGCCCAUGAAGUGGAAGAAAUGGGCUACAUUUUCUAAAAUAGAAGACCCAACGAAAGGGGGCUUGAAACCUGCCCCCAGAAGGUGGAUUUAGCAGUAAAGCAGGAUAAUAAAGCCUCCUUUAAGUCGGUCCUAGAGCACGUACACACCGCCCGUCACCCUCCUCACAAGACCAC